CCCUUCAGAGGGGGACGAACAGUUGGAAACGACUGCUAAUACCGCAUACGAUCUAAUCUCGGCAUCGAGGAUAGAUGAAAGGUGGCCUCUACAUGUAAGCUAUCACUGAAGGAGGGGAUUGCGUCUGAUUAGCUAGUUGGAGGGGUAACGGCCCACCAAGGCGAUGAUCAGUAGCCGGUCUGAGAGGAUGAACGGCCACAUUGGGACUGAGACACGGCCCAGACUCCUACGGGAGGCAGCAUG
rnacentral:rRNA from 1 species